rnacentral:tRNA from 1 species
UGGCUCAGAGGAUAAAGCGUCUGCCUGCAAUGCAGGAGAGCCAGGUUCGAUCCCUGG